CCCUUAGAUGUCCUGGGCCGCACGCGUGCUACACUGACACUUACACCGAGUUUUUCCGGCCCCGAGAGGUGGCUGGUAAUCAGUAAUAGGUGUCGUGAUGGGGAUAGAUCUUUGGAAUUAUUGAUCUUGAACGAGGAAUGCCCAGUGAUCGUAGGUCAUCAGCCUGCGAUGAUUACGUCCCUGCCCUUUGUACACACCGCCCGUCGCACCUACCGAUUGAAUGGUCCGGUGAAGCCUCCGGAUUGGCGCGCACCUCGGUGCCGCCGAGAAGUUGGCUAAACCUUACCAUUUAGAGGAAGGUGAAGUCGUAACA
rnacentral:rRNA from 1 species